rfam:Picea glauca, whole genome shotgun sequence.
UGGCUGGUGAUGAUAAAAUAAUCUUAGUGGAUUUCUCUGAGGAAAUGCAUUCUAUUGCCAACGAUGUGUUAUUUGUUACACACCUUGAAGCCA